rnacentral:rRNA from 1 species
CAGUCGCCACGGUAAAACGAAGGGGGCUAGCGUUGCUCGGAAUUACUGGGCGUAAAGGGCGCGUAGGCGGACAGUUUAGUCGGGGGUGAAAGCCCGGGGCUCAACCUCGGAAUUGCCUUCGAUACUGGCUGUCUUGAGUGUGAGAGAGGUGUGUGGAACUCCGAGUGUAGAGGUGAAAUUCGUAGAUAUUCGGAGGAACACCAGUGGCGAAGGCGACACACUGGCUCACUACUGACGCUGAGGCGCGAAAGCGUGGGGAGCAAACAGGAUUAGAUACCCCCGUAGUCCCUGUCUCUUAUAC